GGCGGAGUUCUUCUCUGGCUCAGACGCAAUCUAGAUGCUAACGGUAGCACUUCGUUCGUCAUUGUUAAGUCCUGUUUUACAAUUCUUCAAUUCAGUACAUGAUUGCACACAUCACUGCUGCAGCAGUCAUGACACAUGGGACCUGUAACAAUUACAUCUGAACGUCACUGAACAUCUGAACUUUUGACCAGAGCUGCUUGGCCUUUGUACAUUACUUACUUCCACCCACCAUCAGUUCAUCAAAAAUGUGGUCUUGGUCAGCUGAGCUCAGAUCCUUUGGAAGUUGGUAUUUGAAGGACCUUGAUCUCUGCAGGACUUUUACUAAAGCCAAUCCCUUUGGUAAAUAACCCUACACUUCUAACAGGCUCUAGAAAAUAAAAAUCAAACAGUCUGGCUAAUUCCAAUUGUAUGAUUUUCUUAGAUUUUUGUAACUAAAUCGGUUUGACUCACUGAUAGUCCACAUAUAUUUUAUACUGUAUUUGUGACUGAUAUUUAUAACUAAAGAAUUGCUUUUAUGUAGUUAACGUCACUUUGAUCAUUCGUUUAAUGAUGGUGCCAAUUGUUAUUAUUUCACAUAAACUGUGUCCUGAUUAAUGAUGAACAGCUAAAGUAAAACAUGUUUAUUUUCAGUGUUGUCUUCUGUGUAUUAUAGUUAUUUUAACUUGCGUCGGUUCUCUUAAAUAUAAAUCCUUAGCAACUAAAAAGUUCCCUUCUGUGCCUGUUGCUAAGCUCUUGUUUAAGUUUUUAGAGUCAAACAGUUUUUAGUAAAAAUAGAUUCCUCUUUUCUGAGGUCAAAUGACUUCACUCUGCUUUAACAAUAGUGACAGAACUUAAUUACACUACUCUAGAAUUACUGUCAAAAGAUGCAUAUUUUAUUAUUUGAGCUGUUGCCACUGUUCAAUGUCAAUGUAUUAUACAUUUUUUUUUUUUUUUAAUCGCAAAGAAAUGUAUUUUCAUGGCUAGAUUUCCUCAAACUAAAAUG